rnacentral:snRNA from 1 species
GUGCUUGCUUUGACAGCACAUACACUAACAUUGGAAUGAUACAGAGAUUAGCUUGGCCCCUGCACGAGAUGACACGCAAAUUCGCGAAGCGUUCCAUAUCUUU